GCAUAUCAAUAAGCGGAGGAAAAGAAACUAACAAGGAUUCCCCUAGUAACUGCGAGUGAAGCGGGAAAAGCUCAAAUUUAAAAUCUGGCAGUCUUUGGCUGUCCGAGUUGUAAUCUGGAGAAGCGUCUUCCGCGCUGGACCGUGUACAAGUCUCCUGGAACGGAGCGUCAUAGAGGGUGAGAAUCCCGUCUUUGACACGGACUACCAGUGCUCUGUGAUGCGCUCUCAAAGAGUCGAGUUGUUUGGGAAUGCAGCUCAAAAUGGGUGGUAAACUCCAUCUAAAGCUAAAUAUUGGCGAGAGACCGAUAGCGAACAAGUACCGUGAGGGAAAGAUGAAAAGCACUUUGGAAAGAGAGUUAAACAGUACGUGAAAUUGCUGAAAGGGAAACGCUUGAAGUCAGUCGCGUUUGCUAGGACUCAGCCUGGUUUCGGCCUGGUGCACUUCCUAGUAAACGGGCCAGCAUCACUUUUGGCUGCGGGAAAAAGGUUAGAGGAAUGUGGCACCCUCGGGUGUGUUAUAGCCUCUAGCUGUAUACCGUGGCUGGGAGUGAGGAACUCAGCACGCCUCUGGCGGGGCUUCGGCCACCUUCGUGCUUAGGAUGCUGGCGUAAUGGCUUUAAACGACCCGUCUUGAAACACGGACCAAGGAGUCUAACAUGCCUGCGAGUGUUUGGGUGGAAAACCCGAGCGCGUAAUGAAAGUGAUAGUUGGGACCUCUGUCGUGGAGGGCACCGACGCCCGGACCAGACCUUCUGUGACGGAUCCGCGGUAGAGCAUGUAUGUUGGGACCCGAAAGAUGGUGAACUAUGCCUGAAUAGGGUGAAGCCAGAGGAAACUCUGGUGGAGGCUCGUAGCGAUUCUGACGUGCAAAUCGAUCGUCAAAUUUGGGUAUAGGGGCGAAAGACUAAUCGAACCAUCUAGUAGCUGGUUCCUGCCGA
rnacentral:rRNA from 1 species